rnacentral:rRNA from 1 species
CACGUAGGGUGCGAGCGUUGUCCGGAAUUAUUGGGCGUAAAGAGCUCGUAGGCGGUGUGUCGCGUCGUCCGUGAAAACCUGCAGCUCAACUGCAGGCUUGCGGUCGAUACGGGCAGGCUAGAGUUCGGUAGGGGAGACUGGAAUUCCUGGUGUAGCGGUGAAAUGCGCAGAUAUCAGGAGGAACACCGGUGGCGAAGGCGGGUCUCUGGGCCGAUACUGACGCUGAGGAGCGAAAGCGUGGGGAGCGAACAGG